UGGAAGCUUGAGAGGGCUCUUUUCUAGUACGAGAGGACCGAAAAGAACGUGCCCCUGGUGUACCAGUUGUCAUCCCAAUGGCAUCGCUGGGUAGCUAAGCACGGCUAGAUAAGCGCUGAAAGCAUAUAAGCGCGAAGCUAGCCUCAAGAUUAGGCUUCAUAGAUCCCUGGUAGAACACCAGGUUGAUAGGCACUCGGUGUACGUGCAGCAAUGCAUUUAGCCAUGGUGUACUAAUAGAUCAUUUCACUUAAUUACUCGCCUUUAUCACUAACUGCCCUCGGGCAGCGUGAUCUCACUAUCACUGGGAUAGUUGUAGGUAAACAAAAAACGGGC
rnacentral:rRNA from 1 species